rnacentral:rRNA from 1 species
GUGGAUGACGGUACCAGCAUAAGAAGCACCGGCUAACUACGUGCCAGCAGCCGCGGUAAUACGUAGGGUGCGAGCGUUAAUCGGAAUUACUGGGCGUAAAGCGUGCGCAGGCGGUUUCGUAAGACAGAGGUGAAAUCCCCGGGCUCAAACCUGGGAACUGCCUUUGUGACUGCGAGGCUAGAGUAUGGCAGAGGGGGUGGAAUUCCACGUGUAGCAGUGAAAUGCGUAGAGAUGUGGAGGAACACCGAUGGCGAAGGCAGCCCCCUGGGCCAAUACUGACGCUCAUGCACGAAAGCGUGGGGAGCAAACAGGAUUAGAUACCCUGGUAGUCCACGCCCUAAACGAUGUCAACUAGGUGUUGGGAGGGUUAAACCUUUUAGUACCGUAGCUAACGCGUGAAGUUGACCGCCUGGGGAGUACGGCCGCAAGGUUAAAAACUCAAAAGGAAUUGACGGGGAC